GAGGCACGCCACCGAGGAGUUGUAUAGAAUGGAAAGUUUUUAUAGAUGGAGGGUGGGGGCAAGAAAAUUAUUAGCAAAAGAAAAGGAUUGUUCCAGACCAUGCUGUUCACUAGGGGGAAAAGUAACUGUCUUAUCAUGCAGAUUACCUCAUCUUUCUUUGGGGGAUGGAGAGGACCCAGGUAACAGACUCAUUGGUGCUGAUGGAAAAAAAAAAAAUCCUGACUGACUGGUUAAGGCCAAACUUCUUGGGGAGGCUGAAACUGCAGUUAGAUUGGGUAUUGAGUCCAGGUUUAGGAACUCAGUCUAAAUGAUACCAUUUGGGGCCUGUGGAUUUAUUUUUUUUAGCAAUAUUUUUAACUGAGUGAUUAGACUUAGUCCCUGGGACUUAAUAAUAAUUUUGGGUACAUAUACUGAAAUCAGUUCAAUUCAAUUCCUUUAUUUCGGUAGCCCUUCAUUUAGAGCUGUCCUGUUAUGUUCUAAGCACUGUGCCAGAAACUGUUGAUAAAGAUAGAUAAUACCUCAUCUUUAAUAGCCCAUGAUCUAGCCGUGCAGACUGAAUAAAGCUGUAAUAUGAUACAUUAAGGGCCUCAGUGAGAAUUACAUUUUUUUUCUUAGUGCUUUUUUUCUUAUGCUAUAUAUUCCCAUAGGAAUACAGUUGUUGGAGUAAUUAAUUUUCUCGUGAGGAGAAUAGAAGUCACUAAUAAUGCCUAGGAAGUGGAAGGAUUCAAAGUGACUGGUGUAUCAAAUGGUGUGUCUGGUUUGAGGAACAGUAAUACUCUGGAGUAGCUAAAGAACUCUGGAGUUGAGGUUGCUGCAGUGGGCAAGGGAUAAAUCAGUAAGGACCUUGAAUGAUGGCUGAAGAUGUUCAGUUCAGUUCUGUGGGUGAUGAGUCAUCCAAUGGUGUUAAGUUGGAGAUUGAUUUGAUCAGAUUUGUUAUUUAAAAGAUAACUCUCCAAAUUUAGGAAAGCCGAUGAGGCAGGAAACAUAGUGAGGAGGUGACCAUUGAGAUAUUUAGGUGACAGUGGAAAUGAGAGAAGAGAACAGAUCUAUAAGAUGCUUCAUCAUCCAUAUUGAUAGGAACUGUUGGCGACUGGACAUGGGCAAUAAGGGAAGUAUCAAGAUAACUCCAAGCUUCUUAGUUUGGACCACCAAGUGUCUAGACAGUGAUAUGUUAAUCAAUAAUGGAAAUUCAAGAGAGGAAAUAUAUUUUGGAGGUGGGAAGUAGAAAACAAGUUUGGUUUUGGACAUUGUAUUGGUUACUACUGAUUGCCUAGUCAACAUUUAUUUCCUACCUUCUUUCUUAGGAGAAGAUAACCCUUAUUUGUGUUCUAAGGAUAUAUCAUGGUUCAUCUAACUCAACAGUUCUCAGCCAGGGGUGAUUUUGCCCCUGCAGGGGACAUUUGGCAAUGUCUGGAGACAUUUUCAGUUGUCGCAAGUGGGGAAUGCUACUGACACAUGGAUUGUUGCAUCCACCAGCUACCAGCCUGAGGAUGAAGCCCACAUGCAGAAGAGGGCAGAGCCAAGAAAAAUGCGAAAAAGAAGAUCCAGAGUCUUGAUGGACAUCUAACAGUGCCUGUAGCCUGCUCUAUCUCUUGUUCCAUGGGGCUGUAAAUUUACUUAUAGUCUAAGAUAGAAUAAGUAGAGGUUUCCUAUUACUUGUAACUAAAAGCAUCCUGAUACCACCAUGUUGAAUUGCUUAUGGAUAACUCAAAAUGGUAGUAAUUAAAGUGUUGAAAACAUGA